rnacentral:rRNA from 1 species
UGGGGAAUCUUGGACAAUGGGGGCAACCCUGAUCCAGCCAUGCCGCGUGAGUGAUGAAGGCCUUAGGGUCGUAAAGCUCUUUCGCCUGUGAAGAUAAUGACGGUAGCAGGUAAAGAAACCCCGGCUAACUCCGUGCCAGCAGCCGCGGUAAUACGGAGGGGGUUAGCGUUGUUCGGAAUUACUGGGCGUAAAGCGCACGUAGGCGGACCAGAAAGUUGGGGGUGAAAUCCCGGGGGCUCAACCCCGGAACUGCCUCCAAAACUAUUGGUCUAGAGUUCGAGAGAGGUGAGUGGAAUUCCAAGUGUAGAGGUGAAAUUCGUAGAUAUUUGGAGGAACACCAGUGGCGAAGGCGGCUCACUGGCUCGAUACUGACGCUGAGGUGCGAAAGUGUGGGGAGCAAACAGGAUUAGAUACCCUGGUAGUCCACACCGUAAAACGAUGAAUGCCAGUCGUCGGGUAGCAUGCUAUUCGGUGAUACACCUAACGGAUUAAGCAUUCCGCCUGGGGAGUACGGUCGCAAGAUUAAAACUCAAA